AUUGAACGCUGGCGGCAGGCCUAACACAUGCAAGUCGCACGAGUGGAGGACGGGUGAGUAAUGACCGGGAAACUGCCUGAGGGAGGGGGAUAAAGACUGGAAAAGGUAGCUAAUACUGCAUACCAUCAGAUGUGCCCAGAUGUGAUUAGCUAGUUGGUGGGGUACAGGCUCACCAAGGCGACGAUCCCUAGCUGGUCUGAGAGGAUGACCAGCCACGCGGGAACUGAGACACGGUCCAGCGUCCUACGGGAGGCAGCAGUGGGGAAGAUUGCACAAUGGGAGCAAGCCUGAUGCAGCCAUGCCGAGUGUAUGAAGAAGGCCUUCGGGUUGUAAAGUACUUUCAGCGGGGGGGCGUUACCCGCAGAAGAAGCACCGGCUAACUCCGUGCCAGCAGCCGCGGUAAUUC
rnacentral:rRNA from 1 species